GAUGAACGCUGUCUACAGGCUUAACACAUGCAAGUCGAGGGGAAACGACGGGGAAGCUUGCUUCCCCGGGCGUCGACCGGCGCACGGGUGAGUAACGCGUAUCCAACCUGCCUCUGACUGAGGGAUAACCCGUCGAAAGUCGGCCUAAUACCUCAUGGCAUCGUCUGCGGGCAUCCAACGACGAUUAAAGAUUUCAUCGGUCAGGGAUGGGGAUGCGUCUGAUUAGCUUGUUGGCGGGGUAACGGCCCACCAAGGCUACGAUCAGUAGGGGUUCUGAGAGGAAGGUCCCCCACAUUGGAACUGAGACACGGUCCAAACGCCUACGGGAGGCAGCAGUGAGGAAUAUUGGUCAAUGGGCGGGAGCCUGAACCAGCCAAGUAGCGUGCAGGAUGACGGCCCUAUGGGUUGUAAACUGCUUUUAUGCGGGGAGAAAGUGAGGGACGUGUCCUUCAUUGCAGGUACCGCAUGAAUAAGGACCGGCUAAUUCCGUG
rnacentral:rRNA from 1 species